GUUCUUGAUAAAAUUGUAGGCCGUGUAGUUGACUCCAUACAAAUUUAUCACAUCAUGAGAAGUUUGAUCGAAACAAAAUUUUUUAAAAAAUCAAUUUAAGUUCACCUUUAAUUUUUAAAAAAAUUAAUUUAAUCAGUUUAAUUUUAAUAAAAAAAUCAAUUAAAUCAUAGAAAAUGCUGCAUUUUAUUCCUUUGGCCUUUUCAUUUGUGCCUCUCCAAAGUCCUCACUACGGUUUCCA
rnacentral:misc_RNA from 1 species